rnacentral:rRNA from 1 species
CCUACGGGAGGCAGCAGUGGGGAAUAUUGGACAAUGGGCGAAAGCCUGAUCCAGCAAUGCCGCGUGCAUGAUGAAGGCCUUCGGGUUGUAAAGUCCUUUUGUUCGGAAAGAAUAAGUGUGGGAUAAUACCCUCGGAUGAUGACGGUACCGUAAGAAUAAGCACCGGCUAACUACGUGCCAGCAGCCGCGGUAAU